rnacentral:lncRNA from 1 species
UAAGCUAGUUUUAUUAUUUAUCAGUAAUAGACCUACAAGCCGAUGGUACUUUAACCCGGUGUGGAUAAUAUAUACGCUUUUAUAGCGGCCCUAGGUGUUACAAUUGUCGAGCUCCGCCACUGCUAGGGACAUUGAUGUUUGGGUGUGAGAACCAGAUACCGAACACCAAAGAGCAUUCGAACUCAGCUGAUUAAGAAAAUAUUUCCUGCACAGCACACCAGUCCAACAUAGAAGUUCCCUGCACUAAACCUCAAUCUUCCCUCGACGCGUUGAAACCAGAGAAAACUUUUUUAUUCCCGGUGAGACCCAUACACACAAGCGCAACCGAACCUUAAAAACCUAACCGAACUCUUCUUGUUUGGUUCGAUGCCCACAGUGGAGCUGCUCCUAUUACUUUCCUAUCUAUAUGGUUUGCAGAGCUAAGGUGCUUACUGUUCUAGGGUACCUCAAGAAUAGACCACCUUUUAAGAUCUGGGCGUGUUGCUGAACCAGUAUGUUUUGGUGAAUUUGCCGAUUCCUCUCAUUCUUGGAAAUUUUGCAUUUUUGGAAUUUUUUUGGGAGUCAGGUGAGGACAGAAGUGGGAUUGACAUUCUAUACUUGCAAGCUAGCGAUACCUUUAUUUCUUCUCCUACAUGUAUAUUCAGUCUCCUAGAUAGCCCUAUAAGUGCAGCCCCUGCUUCCACUCCUGUGUAUUUUCCAUCAGAUACGUAAAGUUCAGUGGAGUAGUCCAAUGAAAUGCCCGGCCUUUCACUAAUAUUCUCAACCCAUCAUGCACGAUAGUUAGCUGAUAUAGGCACCAAAAGGCACUCAUGACUCAUGUGUCGAUUAAACUGCUGAUUUCUCACUUCCUAGCUUGGUGCGUGAUUCUAUGACAAAGUUUGAGACAAUAACCAGGAUAACGCAUCGAGCUUAGCUCGUCAAAUGUAGUAUGUG